CUCAUAUAUAAACAAGGGCAAGAAGGAAGUGGGCCCCUUCUCCUUUACUCCAGACUCACCAUGUGAUCCACCGGCAAGAGAGGGCACCAGGGAAGGCAUCCUCUAUAAGAUAAGUCUUAUAAAAUACAUAGAUUUAUGAUAAUUAAGACUGAGCUAACAGAUGAGAAAUCCUAGUCAUUGGCCAAGCAGCAUUUGUACCUAAUAGAAGUCUCUGUGUAUUAUUUGGGGCCCUAACUCGGCAGGCAGAACUCCGGCGGCUGGCAGAAAGCGCCCAUGUGGUGGUAGGACUCUGGUGGCUUUUGGCGGAAAGAUUUAUCGUAACAGAGGCUCUUGUCUCCCUCACUGGAAUUUAAAAGGGUUUCUCUGCAUAGCUCCAGCUGUCCUGGAACUAGCUCUGUAGACCAGGCUGGCCUCGAACUCAAAGAGGCCAGAAGAAGGCAUUGGGUCCCAGGAACUGGAAUUACAGAUGGUGCGAGCUGCUGUUGCUGUGUAGGUGCUGGGGCUCGAACCCUGGUCCUCUUUAAAGAAUCUGGCAGAGUGAAGUGGAAUGGGCCAAGGCUGUACACCCCCGAUGCCUGCUCUCAAUGACAUGCUUCCUCCAGCAAGGCUGUGUGUAUCCUGAUGGUUAGGAAGUACAUAACCUCCCCCACAGUGUCACCAGCUGGGGAAACAAAUGUUCAAAUACAUGAGCCUGUGGGGGACAUUUUCAUUCAAACCACCAUAAUCAGCUGCCUCUGUCUGUCUUGAUAUGUGUAUAUUGAAAGUUGCUUAUGUCAAAGGUGAAAGAGAGGUUUAGUAGAUGGAAAUAUUUAUUUAUGCAAAGCUCUGUUUACUUUUCAGUAUGGAUCUAAUUAGGGAAGCCAGUGCAAAGGUACCGUGUGGCAAUGCAUGUAUGUACCUGUGUUUGGUAGUGUGUGUGUGUGUGUGUGUGUGUGCGCGUGCACGCAUGAGCAUGUGUAAAUAGAGCUGAGUUAGCCAGGCGUUGGUGGCACACUCCUUUAAUCCCAGCGCUCGGGAGGCAUAGGCAGGCGGACCUCAGUGAGUUUAAGACCAGCCUGGUCUACAAGAGAAAGUUCCAGGACAGCCUCCAAAGCCACAGAGAAACCCUGACUCCAAAAACCAAAAGAAAAAAAAGCUGAGUCCAAGAGCCAAGAGAGGCACCCAGGAAAGCUGCAACUGUGCAGGGAGAAGAAAUACCUGAUUCUGGACUUGGAGGGGCUGAUAUUGCAUGGACUCUGUCUGAGUGAGGCCCCUAACCAUCUGUACUGCCCAUCUGAACAGGGCUCCUGAACCCCCUAUGAGAAUACUUCUUGAAGAAGUAAACGACCUUGUGUUUCUAGUGCUUUCUGUCAUCCUGUGUGUGUGUGUGUGUGUGUGUGUGUGUGUGUGUGUGUGUUGUGUUUUCUUGUGUUUGUAUAGGUGUGUGUAUGUGUGUGCAUAUGUGUUCAUGUGUGUCAAGGCCAGAGAGAUAACAUUAAGUAACUUCCCCUAUUGCUCUCUAUUUUAUUUAUUUUUUAAAGGUUUGUUCAUUUUUAUUCUAUGUGUAUGAGUGUUUUGCCUGCAUCUAUGUCUUUGCAUCACAUGUAUACUGAAGCCCAUGGAGGCCAGAGGAGGGCAUCAGAUCCCCUGGAACUGGAGUCACAGACAGUUGUGAGCUGCCAUGGGGGUGCUGGAUUCUUAAACUGGGUCCCCUGCAAGAGCUAAGUAAGUUCUCUUCACCCCCGAGCCAGCUCUCUAGCCCCCUUAUUUAUUUAUUAUUUAUAAGACAGGCCCUCACUGUGCAGUUUUUGUUGGCCUAGAACUUGCUGUACAGACCACUCUGGCCUUGAACACACUGAGAUCUGUCUCCGAAGCAGGGAUUAAAUGUGUGCCUCCCACCCAGCUCCACCUAAGCUGUUUGAGACAGGGUCUUUUGGUGAAUCUGGAGGUCAUCACCCUGGAGCUUGCUGGCUGGCCCCUGUCUCCACCUCUCUAGCCCUGGGGUUAUGGCUGUGUGCUGGCAACACUGGGCUUUCACAUGGGCAUCGGGGGUUAAAACCAGGUCCUGAUGAUUGUGCUGGAGCACUUUGUCCCAGAGACAUCUCCCCAGCCUCCCAUUAGCAGUCCCAACCCAAAGCUUAGUCCAUGGUACCCACUAGGCAGAUGGAGACAACUUUUGCCCCAGAUUGCCCAGUGCUACGGAGACAUUAGAUCUUUAGGAGUUACUUGUCCCCAUCCCUCCAUGGCAAUAGUACCGGGGCCCCGACUUUCCUCCCCCCAAUCCUUUCCGUGGCUUCUGGCUUCUGCCGUGAUGUCCCUUUGCCUAGGCUGGCUCCACCGGGAACCCGUUGACUGUGGAGGUGGUUCUGCAAACCCCAAACUAAGAGCCUGUUUUGACACGGCUGGGAGCAAAGCUGAGAGCAAGUCUCCAGAGCGGCAAUUGCUUCAUUCAGUUCUGGGAUGCCCCCCACACACCUAAAGUGAAGCGAUGAGCCCCUCCUCCCAGCUACCCAGCAAGCAGCCAUUUAUUCCCAAUUGCUCCCCACAGUAUAGGUCAAUUAGAGAGGAAGCCAGCAGGACUGGGGGCACGGGCAAUUCUUUUGAGGGCAGGAGACCCCUGGGCUGCCUAGUCACAGGCACCCCCUCCAUUCACAUGCUAUGUAGGAAUGCAAACUCCCAGAAAGGGAGUGGGGAUUCUGUCCAAUGCAGAGCCACGGAGUAAAUGGCCCUGGUCCUGGACACUUCCCAAGUGAGAUUUACAGUUCUGGCUCACUCUGCUCAGGCAGAAACAGCCACUUCAGCCAUAUCAGGAAUGGCCUCUUAUUGUUGACUUCCCUUUGGGGAUACGUUUUUCACAGCUAGCUAAUGCUUUUGUUUCAAGGUAGGAGGGGUUCUCAGUCUUUCCCUUCUGAAUUGUGGUUGGAUUUCUCUUUAAUCAUUUAUUUCCAAGUUCUUUUUGUAGGGCAUAUCACUGUAAUUAGCAGCCAAUGCUACAUUUCCACGGUUGCCUUACUUUCCAUGUGCUCCAUAGUCUCCAUGAAGUCCACCAUCCCAGCCGGGCCCAUCACGGUCUUCAUGCCUCUUAGAUAGAAGCCAUUUUGCACCCCACCCCAAUAAAUCUCUGGUAUAAGGUCCAUUUCAAGGUGUGAUUUUUUUUUUUUUUUUUGUGAUAUUCCUUAGCCUUCGAUCGUUGAGAUACUCUUGUUGCAAACCGUUUCAUUUUCUCUUGUGAUUUCAUAGUAUUUCGUUUCCUUUCCCCUUACAUUUUCAGAACACUGUUUCGGUCUUACCAGUGUUUUCUGGACCUUCCUGUCCAGCUGAAUUGCUCAGAACAAGCAAAUAGUUAGGUCGGAGCCACAUUCCAGGCCAUUUAAGUCAGAAUCUCCAGGGGCUGGGUCCUGCCUGGCCUGGGAAGAGAAACUUCCCUGACUAUUCUGAUGUGCUGAGAGAGAAGCAAGCUGAAUCCAACCCACGGAGGUAUCUCAAGGCCUGUGUGAAUGGAGAAAAGCGGAAACUCUCAGUAUGACUCAGCUGCAGCAGGCUUUGGGAGUGGACAUCAAAUGAUAACUACAAAAAAGCAAGAAACAAGCACAAAAGCCUAUCAGGAAACCCCCCAAAGAAGUGAAGUCUUGGGGGCUGGUGAGAUGUCUCAGCAGGUAAAAAGUGCUUGCACGCAAGCCUGAUGGCCUGAGUUCCGACCCUGGAACCUGCAUUUCAAAGUCAGACUCUGUGACACGUAGCUGUCCUCCUAUUGGAGAUGGGGUGUGGAAGCAGGAGAAUCGCCCAGAAGCUCUUGGGCCUGGUAGCUGGGAGUAUGCAGCCCAGUGGGAGAAAUGAGAGAACCUCUGCCCUCCACACACAUGCUGUGUGGUAUGUGUGCAUGCACUUUUAGGUUUGAAGGAUUUUGAAAUAUGGUGGAUUUGCAGAAAUUCCCAUUUGAGACCUCAGUCUGCAUAAACACAAGUCACCUGGGGGUCAAUGCAGCUGGACCUUCAUCCCCUUCCUUCAUAUCAGAGGCAAGUCUGUUUUCAAGAACACAGUGUGACUGGUUUACAAGCGGCCCGUGUCCCAUCAAAUGCAGUCAGUGUGGGCACUCCCAACUGCAUUUCAUUAAUGCCUCCAAAGACAUCGCAAAGGGUACAGCCUUCAUGCAAGGGAAGAUCAAAAUGCCGAGCAAGCAUUUUAUUCUUCUCUGAGUUACAGAUACCUUCUGACCCCAGGCAAACGCGCAGUGAGGCCCCACCCAUAAUUACUAAAUUACAACCCACUUGCCCUGUUUUAUUUUGCUGUAGUCCAAAGAGAACUUACGGUGAUCUUGAGAAGUACAAAUAGAACGAUCCGUCUAUGUGUGGGCUGAAACUUCUACAGUGUGGUUAUUCCUAUGACGAUGUCUCCAGGACAACAGACAGGGAAAGAUCUGCAGCCAUUUAUCAGAAGGGAAACAAUUUUCUUUUGGGCAAUAGUAUUUCCAUUUUACAAUGGGAAAAUCAUCCUGAGAGGUUAAAUAUCUUGCCUGAAAUCGCCCAGCGACUAGCCAACAGGGGCAGGAUUUAAACACAGGUCUGGACAGGAAAGUCAUGUUUGUUCUCACCUUGCUCUGGGCCCUUCACUGUGCCCCAGUGCUGACUGUGGCAAGUCCUUCUGCUUUGUUCAUCAGAGCUCAGAUUCAGGUUUUGAUUUCCUAAUAGAUACUACUGUGAGGUAGUGCAAAUGGCAGACUAGGCAACUCGUAGUAUAGUUAGUUAGCUGGAAAUUUCUAUCUGCAGUGGGAAACAAGGGCUGACUGGAUGUCAUGGACCUGCCACUCUGUCAGUCACGUGUCUAAGUGUAUUAGAAGGAGCUGGUGUAUAUUUCUAGAAGCCUCAUGUCAGAAGGUGAGGCUGGGCCAAGGAGACCUGCACGCUGCUUCACCAGGGUCUCUCUAAAUACCGGUGGCCCCAGGCUCAGCCCUGUACCCUCUUUUGGCUGACAUCUAUGUUGUUGCUUGUUCUAAUGUUUGAAUCUUCCAAAUUUUAUAUCCAUCUUUUAUUUCUCCUUCAAGAAUUUGGCCUCAAGCCUCUACACACCCACUCAGCAUCUCUGUUUAGUCCCACAAGCAAAGUGGUGGAUUUGGCUCCUUAGCGUCCUCUUGUCUUCCUCUUCCAGGCUUUGCACAGGGCUCCACACCCCACUUGCUUCCUGCACACAGAGAUGGGACAGUCUCCUACAGUCCACUUGUGAAGAAGCAGAAGAAUUCUUUAAAAUCUGAAGGGGGGGCUUUAGAAAGUUGGCUCAGUUGUUAAGAGUCCUGGGGGCUCUUGCAGAAGAUGGGGUUCAGUUCCCCACACUCACAUGGUGGCUCACAACCACCUGUAACUCCAGGUCCAGGGGAUCUGCUGUCCUCUUUUGACCUCUGAGGGCACUAGGCACACAUUUGGUGUACACACACACACACACACACACACACACACACACACACACACACAGGCAAAACACUCAUAUAUGUAAAAUAGAAUAAAUAAAUCUUAAGAAAUUAAAAUUUUAGAAAGUAAUACAGAUUGGGAACAAAGAUAUAAAACUGUCCUUAUUUGUAGGUGAUGUGUUUUUCUAUGUAAAAAACAACAACAAAAAAAACCCAAGGUAUCUAAAAAAACAAAACAAAAACAAAAACCUUCUGGAACUAGUCAGUGUUUUGGGUGAGGAAGAGUGUAAGAAAACUUGAAAUCUAUAUGCCAGUAACAAACACAAGGAAAAUAAAAUGAAAAACACAAUACUAUUUACAAACCACAUUAAAAAUUACCUAGGUAGAAAUCUAGAGUGUGCACAGGAUCUCUUCGUUGAAAUUUACAACCACAUUAAAAAAAAAAAUACAUAUGUCAGCUGGUGGUGAUGAACGCCUUUAAUCUCAGCACUUGGGAGGCAGAGGCAGGUGGAUCCCUGUGAGUUCAAGGCCAGCCUGGUCUACAGAGUGAGUUCUGGGACAGCUAGGGCUGUUACACAGACAAACCUUGUCUCGAAAAUAAUAAUAAUAAUAAUAAUAAUAAUAAUAAUAAUAAUAAUAAUAAAUAAAUAAAUCUAGAAUGUGCACAGGAACCCUCUGUUGAAAACAGCAAAAUACCAGUACAAGAAAUCAGACCUAAACAAUGGAAAGUGAAGAAAUCAGACCUAAACAAUGGAAAGUGAAGAAAUCAGACCUAAACAAUGGAAAGUGAAGAAAUCAGAUCUAAACAAUGGAAAGUCAAGCUGCACAAAAUACCCAGGGUCAGUGGCUAUUUUUAGCCAUUGUUCUCCCCAGUGGGGUUAUCCUCAGAGAAUCCUUACUGCCCGGGCUCCCCUUUCAUAAGUUUCUCCGGGGUAUCUGCAUCUCCUCCCCCUGCCUCCCCCUUUCAGUUUGAGGAGAACAGUCCAUCGUCAUAUGACAACAGGAACAUGAGGCAACUGGUGACAGUGGCCUCCGCCCCUGCCCCAUGGCCUCCACUCCUGGCUGUGACCGGCAGACAGAGCUUUAUAGAAAGGUCUCAUGGAAGCAGAUGCUGAAUGCUCAGCCCGCAUCCCCUCAAGACCGGAGAGGGUGACAUUUCUGGACAUUCAGAACUAAAUACGAAGCCAAAGAUAACAGUCCCAGUGGCUGGGAGCCUAUGGUGCUACAGCAAGCAUAUAGGCAAUUAGAAUGGAGGACAAGCCGGGCAUUGGUGGCGCACACCUUUAGUCCCAGCACUCAGGAGGCAGAGGCAGGAGGAUCUCUGUGAGUUUGAGACCAGCCUGGUCUACAAGAGCUAGUUCCAGGACAGCCUCCAAAGCCACAGAGAAACCCUGUCUCGAAAAACCAAAAAAAAAAAAAAAAAAAAAAAAAAAGAACAGAGGACAACUUGUAGGAUCAGUUCUCUCCCUCUGCCACGAGGGCCCCAUGGAUGGAGCUUACGUUGUUAGAACCUAAGGUGUGUCCAGAUGGACUGUUCUCGGCCAUGAGUACUGAGAGGAGGGAUGCAGUGUUCUUCUGAGUCCACGGUGUCAACCUGCCAUGUCUCUGGUGCCUCGUCUCCUUUGUUUUCCUUUCUGCAAACACACAAAGCAGACCAGUAGAAUUAAAGACACAGAGGCCAGCAGUAAACAGAGUCAAGGAGGUUCACAUCAGAGAUCAGAAGAUGUGGCUUCCGUUCACGGUGUUUGCAGACUUAGUGCGAGAUCCUGUCUGAAAAACAAGGUGGAUGACUUCUGAGAAAGGAUGACUUGCCUUCCAAGCGGCUGAAUUCAUGGCAGAAGAAACAUCCAGGGAGCACCUGCAGUUUGCAAGACACCUGGACAGAGCACAGACUCCCCCAGGCCUCUCUGAGCCUUGGCACUGACUGCAGAGUAAGACUCAGGGAGAGAUUCGUGCAAGUACUAAAGACCAGUUCUGACAGACGUUGCCUUAGUGGCCUUCUUUCAGCCAGGAAUUGCCUGUUUGCUGUUUGAGUCCCAGAGCGGCCCUUGCUCACUAGGGCUUCUCAUUCUCCCUUCCUGAGGGUAUUUUCUGUGUGGCUUAGAAUAAAGAUUGGACUAUGUAGAUGUUACCAUGGCAACUGGUGUUUUAAAUAAAAAUAGUGCUACACCCCCGG
rnacentral:lncRNA from 1 species